rnacentral:rRNA from 1 species
UAGGGAAUCUUCGGCAAUGGACGAAAGUCUGACCGAGCAACGCCGCGUGAGUGAAGAAGGUUUUCGUAUCGUAAAACUCUGUUGUUAGAGAAGAACAAGGACGUUAGUAACUGAACGUCCCCUGACGGUAUUUAACCAGAAAGCCACGGCUAACUACGUGCCAGCAGCCGCGGUAAUACGUAGGUGGCAAGCGUUGUCCGGAUUUAUUGGGCGUAAAGCGAGCGCAGGCGGUUUCUUAAGUCUGGUGAUAAAGCCCCCGGCUCAACCGGGGAGGGUCAUUAGAAACUGGGAGACUUGAGUGCAGAAGAGGAGAGAGGAAUUCCGUGUGUAGCGGUAAAAUGCGUAGAUAUAUGGAGGAACACCAGUGGCGAAGGCGACUCUCUGGUCUGUAACUGACGCUGAGGCUCGAAAGCGUGGGGAGCAAGCAGG